GGGAUUGACAUGUGAAGCAAGCUUGUUUCUAACUUAAAUAAAAAAAUAUCUGGGCAUGGGAGUGGGUCCCAGUGACCCUAGUACAAGGGAGGCAGAGUCAAGCAGAUUCCCCUGGGUUUGUUGGCCCAGCCUAGAAGAAUCAGCAGGCUCCAAACUGAUGAAAGACUGUGUCUUAAAAGCUCCAACAUUGCCUCAAACAAAAGUAAGUAUUCAAGAGUAUAGUACUUGGGAGGGAUUUCAAUAGCAAUAAAGAAAACACAUGACAAUUUGUAUAUUUAUGGCCCCUGGGGUGAUAUUUUACCACAUGUGUAUGCAAUAUGGAACAGUGAAUAAGAGCAGUAUACAUCCCUGCUGUGGAGUAAUCCUUUUGCUCACUGUGAAUAUGUAUUAUUCUAAUUGGUUAAUAAAGAGCUGACUGGUCAAUGGCUAGGCAGGAUUUUCAGGGCAGAGAGAAUUCUAGGAAGAAGGGCAGAGUCUGAGGAGUCUCAAGCCAGAUUUGGAAGAAGCAACAUGGAAAGUUCAUAGAUGAGGUAAAUGAGCCUCGGGGCAGCACAUAGGUUAAUAGAAAUGGAUUAAUUGAAGUUGUAAGAGCUGGCUGGAGACACACCUAUGCCAAGCAUUUAUAAUUAAUAAUAAGUUUCUGUAUGGUUAUUUGGGAGUGGCUUGCAGGACAGACCUGAUCAGAGUUGUAGACAGAAACCUCCCCCUACACAUCCCCGCCACACUGGACACUCACUAUCACUUCACAGGAUGGGUGACAACAAGCUAUUGUGCCCGUGCCCAUGCCUGUGCCUGUGCCUGGUGACUGACUGGCUGCUGCCUCUGGAAACAUGGCUGCUGAAGGAUUCCGGGGAGCUCUCAGCAAAGGACUUGGUGCGCUGAUGUAUUCACCCUGGAGAGUGAUGGGAAUUCAGUGACACCAGAGGUGGGUGACAAAGCCUUCAACACCAUCUGGCACGUGGAAAGGUCUCAGAAGGGCUGAGAGCCCUCCACAAGGACCUUCCUGGAGAGCACCCUGCAGGAGACACAGAGUUCUGGAAAAUUAUCAGAAUUAUUUCUGCUGCUGGUAACCUUGACCUGUUGGAAGCCCCUUGCAUUAUGGUAAACUGAGGUAUCACUGGUAAGGAUUCCAGACCUGCCCCAGGGUUUACAGCCAUCUGUAUAGGGACCUUAACAUCAAUGAGGCUGAGAGGGUCAAUGUGUCACCUCCACUCAUGGUGCUAGCACCUGCCUGGCCAGAUGCGAGCUGAAAAUGUAAUGAACAAGACAGGAGUCUCGGACAUUGUCCUUGGGAUGUGUAGUUUAAAGUCAGAGGCUGAUGGCAUCGUCAUGGGCAGCUCUGGAGAGAAACGAAGAUACCUGUGCCUUUAACUGGGUGAGAAGCAAAAGCAGAGCUGGUGUCAGUGAGCCUCCCCUGCAGUAGUGAACCCCAUCCCCUGUGCCACCCUUCCCCUCUAAGAGAAAUGGCAGCCAUGGGGCUGCCCAAGAAGGUAAACUUCAAAUGCAGGCUCAUGCUAUGGGGUUUAGAGAGACUGCUGUGAGAGAUUUUGGGGCACUCAGCCCUGAGUAGGAUGUCUUCAUCAAAGACUAUCCUCAAGACUCAGGGGACAGGAGGCAGAGAUUGUAAGAGCCAGGGGUGAUGGCUGACUCUUCCAGACUCCAUAGGGCUGAUAAGCAUAUGCCCUCACAGCCUAUGGCAGCAUGAACAAGACCUGCACAGGUUCAAGCAGACAGGGUCCCAGGACUGGGACGGGGAGUGGACACAGGCAGGCUCCCAUCCCUAACCAAGAAGCUAUCUAUAGCUGGUACCCAUCGGAAAAGAAAAAGUCAUUUUACUCCAAUGGAGUCUCACUGGGAAUAUUAACCACAUCUUAGGGCAGGUCUCAUGCCCAGGAAUAGAUGACCAACACAAAAUUAA